AUAAAUAUAACUUUACAAUCUUGCUAAAAUGAGGAUUCCAAUACAGUUGGUGGUAGGAUGUGGCACUUAACUGAGAUUUUGCAUUUCUAACAAGCUCCUGAGUUAUGCAGUU
rnacentral:pre_miRNA from 1 species